rnacentral:lncRNA from 1 species
GGCCUAUCUAGGAAGACUGGGCCAACAUGCGAUCCCCUCUGCAAGGUGGAGGCCAUGCACCUGCCUCCUGCUCCUGAGCUCCGGUAUCCUCACUGUGACCCAGGCCCCACUGCAGCAAAGAGACACUGGGAAUUAGCCCUUCUGUCCCCUCCUUGCCAGAAGCAGGAGGCCACUGGAGGCUCCAAGGGCUCUGAAAUGUUGAG